ensembl:lncRNA
AUGCCAACACAGCUAGCAGGGACCUGUGCACCUCAAGUGCAGGGGCAGCAUGAUGCGGUAGUUGAAAACACUGUUGGAAACCAGAUCACACGGAUUAAUAAUGCCAAUAUGCUUAUUCCUGAAAUGACCACCAUACCAACAGUAAAUGGUCAGUCAGUGAUACAAAGUUUGCCUUUGGUGCCUCAAAGUGCUCUAACAGGGGGACCUGAGGGAAAGGUGCAUCUUACCCAGAAUUCUGUGCUUCUCUUGCCUGAGAGAACAAUAGAAGGUCAACAGGAGAAUGUCAACAAACCGUUUCAAGUGAGUUUCUGUCACAUUCUGUUGAAACAAUGUUAGGAAUGGUCUUUGUUCUUAAACAGAAUCUUAUUUGUCUUAUUUAUCAUUCAAUUUUGAAAGCACUGUUGGAUUUCUUAAAAGACUUGUAGAUUGAUAAAUUUUUUCACUGUUUUUAUUCACUUCAGGAGAGCAGAUUGCUUCCUCCAGCUUCAGUGGAAGCACCUGUUGCAGAGACUCACUCUCUGCCCUCUCCAUUAUCAACUUUACAACAGUCAUCACCAGAUAUCAGUUGUGACCCUGAGACAGUUUUGUCAUUAUCCCCACAACUGAUCACUCAGACAGGAGAGCAACAAUUUACUGAAGGAGAACAUAAUCUAUUGCAUCACAAUCAGGCUUUAGUACAUCCUCACCAACAGUGUCCAUUAAAACUGUCAGCCAGCCAAGAUUCCUUAGCUGCAACUCUGCUUGUCCAAAUGGACAACCACACCUCUUCUGCUGUAGGUGAAUCUGAGGCUUCGCUCACAUCCUUGACUGCAUCUGAGACUUUCUCUUCAUUGUGUGAGAGUGAAGAGACUCUUAUGCCAGCAUACCAUGGUUCAGAACACACUGAUAUUCUUUUGCAAACUCCUAUUGGCCAGACCUCAGACACAGACAACAUGAAGGGCUCAACACCCCCAGUCUCAGAUGAGCAGGAUUCCUCUGUGUUGAUUGCUCCUGAUGCUGAACCCAAGUGUCAGGAGGGGCCCGUAACGAGUAAGAGACCUUCCUCUUCCUCAGAGAAGUUGUUUAUGUAUCCAGAGCAAUUGGGCCAAAGCCAUGUGUUAACUGAGCUUAGCAGAACCCCAGAGUCAACAGCUCAUGUGUACAAGCAGCAAUACAAUGAACAUGACACAGAGCUCACAGUCCUUAGGAACAGUGGGAUCAUCUCUUUGGAUCAGCAUCAGUCACAGGAGAAGGUACAUCUCGGGCCCAGGCUGCUUGCCCACAACAAGGAAACCUACUCGGCACUUCAGAAGAACCAGACUUCAACUGUAAGCGUGGAUGCAAAAGAGGAGAAGCUGAGACUAGCAGAGAGGCAACACAGGUAAGUAAAAAUAGAUUUAUUCAGUAAGAUACUAAUUCUAAGUAGAGAUCAGUAUGAAUUUAAAAAUAUUUAAGAUGGAAAAAUGCCAUAGGCAGGGCUGUAGCUAGGGUAUGCAGGAAACGGUGUCAUUUGAAAUCACGUUCCAGCUGAAAUUGGGGGACUGGGGACUAGAUAUUGGCACCCUGGAACAGGCCAGCUGAUUGGGGAUUAAAGACAGUACAUUUCAAGGCACCUUACAUUAGGAAUGCUCGAUCCCAUUCCCAGAUAGCUACCUUUCCGUAGAGUUCAG